rnacentral:rRNA from 1 species
UGGCCCCUAGGGACGCAGCAGUGAGGAAUAUUGGUCAAUGGGCGGGAGCCUGAACCAGCCAAGUCGCGUGAGGGACGACGGUCCUAUGGAUUGUAAACCUCUUUUGUCGGGGAACAAAGGCGCCCACGGGUGGGCGGAUGAGUGUACCCGAAGAAAAAGCAUCGGCUAACUCCGUGCCAGCAGCCGCGGUAAUACGGAGGAUGCGAGCGUUAUCCGGAUUUAUUGGGUUUAAAGGGUGCGUAGGCGGACAGUCCAGUCAGCGGUAAAAAUGCGGUGCUCAACGCCGUACAGCCGUUGAAACUGGC